ACCUGCAAUUGGAAAAUUACCACUGUUGGAAUCUCUUUGCAUUGAAGGAAUGGAUGGAGGCUACCAAAGGUCUUGCUUUGGUCAUGUUCCUUGCAGAUAUACAGAUUGCCAAUGCCCAAGCAUGGUUUCUGUUUUAACGAAUAACCUGCUUCUGACUUGAAGAAGAUUGAGAAAUGAAGAUGGCAAGAAUUUACAGUGUUUGGUGGAUGAAGAAGAAGAUACUAGCACAACUUCACCUCUCUUAAGCCAGUUACGGUUGUUGGCUGUUCAGCUGACAUAUCUUUUCCAAAAGAGGAUUUCCCUACCGACCUAACAUCACUUGACAUCACAUCACCCAAUAUUUGUAGGUCACUACUUUAAUAGGGAUUGCAUAGACUCAGCUCUCUCAAAAAACUGUCCAUUAAUGGUGAAGAAUGUCCAGAUGUGGUGUUGUUUCCACAAGAGGCGAUAGGAAUGAUGCUGCCUCCCCCUCUCUGCGAUAUCAACAUAAGUGAUUUCGACAACCUGAAAUUUCUAUCCUCGGAUGGCUUUCAAAACCUCACGUCUCUUUGGUCUUUCGAGAUCACUGAUUGCUCUAAGCCCACAUCUCUUCCAGAAAAAGACAUGCUUCUCGCACUUUGCUAUUUUCAGAUUGAUGAUUGUCCUUUUCUAGAAGAAUGGUGCAAAAGGGAUAAAGGACAUACCUCAUGUUGAAAACAAUAAUGAACAAAAUUAUCCCAAAGAAGUUGAAAUCUAGAAAUUGAAAGUCAAAAGGUAUUAAACCAUUUGAAAGAUAGGCCAGAUAAUUGAAUUCUGAUUAUUUAUUCAUUUAAUUUUUGUUAGAUACAUAAGAUAAUAGUAAGUCUGAUAUGUUAUUGAUGAUAUAUAAUUAAUUUACAGCCACAUUGGAGGCUUGAAAGCUACAAAGUGCAGUUCGUAUAUAUAGCUCUAUUCAAAGAUCAGGUACAAGCUUCUCAUUUUCUUUUUCCAUUUCACUUGCACUUAAGCAUAGCAUGCUCAUCAAUCCACAACAUUUAACCAUUAAAACACUUGUGCUCCUCUAACUUCAGGUCUAAACACCUCUUGGUGUGAAUUUGUUGAUUCAUCAUUUUGGCUUACGAAACUGAUUAAAAAGUUCAAGGAUGAAAGGUGAGUUGAUUUUUUUCUACUUUUUUAUGUCAUGUACAUUGAAGAAUUGAAAAGUGAUUGUUAGAAUAUAUACGCAGUUUCAUGGACAAAAUUGUGUUUUAUUUUUUGGUAAGUUAUAUAUUCGUUCAUACAGAAGCAUAUUUGUUUUGAUUUCAGGAGAUUGCCAUUUUGUUAAAGAAAAUUUCUCUUUCUCCUUUUCCAUAUUAUCAAUUUUCUUUGUACGUGAUUACUUUAAACCACACGAAUUAUGCUUUCCUUGAGUAUGUUGGAUAGUGAACUACUUUCUGUUCUUUUAGUAUUUUAAUGUUCAUUUAUUUAGUCCUUUGCUUUCUGAGUUUGUAGAGAAUGGAGAGGAAAGGAAAAAUUACAUCCAUAAAAUUCUAAUUUUUUAUUAGAUUUUCCAUUUCAGACGAGUGUGUCCCCACCAAUUGAAUGUUACUUCGAAUCUCUGCUGCUAAAAUCUGUAUACCAUUAUUACAUUGGGGAGAGCACAUACGAAUCUGUCGUGGACAACUUCCCAUUGGUGGUGCUAACGAUGCAGCCGGCCACCUUUCAAACUUUCCUUGUCACCAAGAAGUUCCUAAAUUUGGAAUACCAGCACUGCAAGGGUUUUCAGAGCAUCUCCUUCCUCAAAGGUUUGUAUACUUAAUUGCCUUAAUCUAUAAAAAGGGAUAAAAGAUGAAGUGAUUAGAGAUAUCUCCUGUAUUAAUAAGUAAUAACAGAUUACUUAUAAGCCACAAGAGGAACAGUGAAAACUUGUUGUUUUUCAUCGAAAAAGAGCGAAAAAAGCAGAAUAUACCAUGCUUGUAAAUUCAAUCCUAGGUAUGUCAAUGGGAAAAUCCUCUCUCCUUUUUUUUCUUUGAACAAUUAAUUAAAACUUGUAUGAUCACCAAGUGUUGAUUUACUUGUACAUACAGAAGUCUGAACAUGAUUAGGAAACAGCAAGGAUGAAUUCAGCCUCCAGUUCUAAUCUAUUGGCCAUAAAAUCAAUGCAAUGCAGAGGUGAGCUUUUAUAUAUUGGACUAUAUUAAGAUUAUAUGCCUCACCAAUAGAAACAAUCCCUUCUUCUAAAUGAUAUAUGCAUGCAUAGUUCUAUUAUUGUAUUGAAUUUCCUCUAGCAGUCACAUAAUAUUGUUUCCACACCACUGGAUAUUACUUAUUAGCCACAGAAGGGAAAAACGGCAAGAAUCAGAGAAACUACCAUACUUGUAGAUAUAUGGUAUGUCAAUUGGAAAAUCCUCCUGUUCUUUUUACACUUUGAUAAUAAUUAAUUAAAGUUUUUAUGCUAACCAAGUUUUAGUCUAGUGUGUACAUGCAGAAAUCUGAGCAUCCAUAGGAAGCAACAACAAUGAAAUUUAACCUCCAGUUGUAAUCUAUUGACUGUAUAAUCAAUUCAAAGCAGAGGUGAGCAUUUUAUUAGACUACCUUAAGAUAAUAUCCCUCACCAAUGGACAGCCCUUAUGAUAAAUAACCUUUUGCAUAUCUAUUAGUUACUCAUCUUCAUUCUCAAUAGUGUGACCCUCAUUCACAAUNGGCUUACGAAACUGAUUAAAAAGUUCAAGGAUGAAAGGUGAGUUGAUUUUCCUCUGCUUUUAUAUGUCAUGUACAUUCCCAUUAAAAGAAAUGUCAUGUACAUUAAAGAAUGGAAAAGUGAUUGUUAGAGUACAUAAGCAGUUUCAUGGACAAAAUUGGGUUUUAAUUUGGUAAAUUACAUAUAUACUUGCCUUGUGAAAUUGUUAGUUGUUUAUACAGAAGCAUAUUUGUUUUGAUUUCAAGAGAUUUCCAUUUUGUUAAAGAAAAUCCAAGUCUCUCUUUCCUUUUCUAUGUUAUCAACUUUCUUUAUACCAUGCCAAUUAUGCUUCCCUUGAGUAUGUUGAACAGUGAACUAAUUUCUUUUCUUUUAGUAUUAUAAUGUUCUUGUAUUUAGUUUUUUGCUUUCUGAGUUCGUAGAGACAAUGUAGAGGAAGCAAAUAAAUUUCAUCCAUAAAAUUCUAAUGUUGUAUUGGAUUUUCCAUCUUAGAGGAGUGUGUCCCCACCAACUGAAUGUUACUUUGGAUCUCUGCUGCUAAAAUCUGUAUACCAUUAUUACAUUGGGGAGAGCACAUACGAAUCUGUCGUGGACAACUUCCCAUUGGUGGUGCUAACGAUGCAGCCGGCCACCUUUCAAACUUUCCUUGUCACCAAGAAGUUCCUAAAUUUGGAAUACCAGCACUGCAAGGGUUUUCAGAGCAUCUCCUUCCUCAAAGGUUUGUAUACUUAAUUGCCUUAAUCUAUAAAAAGGGAUAAAAGAUGAAGUGAUUAGAGAUAUCUCCUGUAUUAAUAAGUAAUAACAGAUUACUUAUAAGCCACAAGAGGAACAGUGAAAACUUGUUGUUUUUCAUCGAAAAAGAGCGAAAAAAGCAGAAUAUACCAUGCUUGUAAAUUCAAUCCUAGGUAUGUCAAUGGGAAAAUCCUCUCUCCUUUUUUUUCUUUGAACAAUUAAUUAAAACUUGUAUGAUCACCAAGUGUUGAUUUACUUGUACAUACAGAAGUCUGAACAUGAUUAGGAAACAGCAAGGAUGAAUUCAGCCUCCAGUUCUAAUCUAUUGGCCAUAAAAUCAAUGCAAUGCAGAGGUGAGCUUUUAUAUAUUGGACUAUAUUAAGAUUAUAUGCCUCACCAAUAGAAACAAUCCCUUCUUCUAAAUGAUAUAUGCAUGCAUAGUUCUAUUAUUGUAUUGAAUUUCCUCUAGCAGUCACAUAAUAUUGUUUCCACACCACUGGAUAUUACUUAUUAGCCACAGAAGGGAAAAACGGCAAGAAUCAGAGAAACUACCAUACUUGUAGAUAUAUGGUAUGUCAAUUGGAAAAUCCUCCUGUUCUUUUUACACUUUGAUAAUAAUUAAUUAAAGUUUUUAUGCUAACCAAGUUUUAGUCUAGUUGUACAUGCAGAAAUCUGAGCAUCCAUAGGAAGCAACAACAAUGAAAUUUAACCUCCAGUUGUAAUCUAUUGACUGUAUAAUCAAUUCAAAGCAGAGGUGAGAUUUUAUUAGACUACCUUAAGAUAAUAUCCCUCACCAAUGGACAGCCCUUAUGAUAAAUAACCUUUUGCAUAUCUAUUAGUUACUCAUCUUCAUUCUCAAUAGUGUGACCCUCAUUCACAAUAGGUUUAAGUAGAUGAACCCUGAUUGAAAGUACAUUGCAGUUCUCAAGUAAUGCGUAGAAUUAUUUUUUCACACCAGAACUGUUGUACAACUUGGCACACAGAGAUGCAAAGAGCUUAUGUAACAGCUUUCAUGGCUCUUUAUGCCAAGCUUUUUUUGCUUCUAAUAUUACAUAUUACCAUGCCCUGCAUGUUGCUUCUUCAGCCUUCAACACUAAUCUCUCUAUGUCAAUCCCAGUGAGUCUUCAAUCCCUCCAAAUGACCCAAAAAGUAUCACUAGAGGCAAAAAGUGUCACUAGCGGCAGCACCAAUGCUAACAUACAUCAUUGCAACAUGUCAUCACCUAAAGAGCAAUCAAUGUCAUUGACAGUCAAGAUUUUCUUUUCUAACACUAUGAAUCAGUUGGGUAAGAAUAACUUAUUAAAAAAUUUGCUCUUCAUUUAUCAUUUCUCUUUGCAAAGAAACUUCUUCAAAUUCAUCAGUAGUAUCAUCACUAAUAGAUUCACACUAAUCCCUUAACAAAUUUUCAUAGAUAGACUUUGUAAUGUGCCAUAAACUAGUUGAGCUUCAGUUUUCUUUUUCUUUUUCAUGAUUAUGCUAUAUAAAGUUUGUAUACUAUGGUAUUGGACUUCAGAAGGAUUAAUUUUCUUGCGCUUUUGAAUUGAGAUUAUGAGAUGUAUAAUAGAUUCAAGCUAAAUGUUAAUCUCUUUUUCCUACUCUUCGUCCUUUCUCUUUUAUCUUCUUCUUUGGCAAAUAAAGAGAUCCAACAAAUUUCAAUACAGGAAAUAAACUGAAUUUUUAUGGCUAUCAUCUGAUGGAUGUUAAGCCAUAAUGCAUGAGCAGGCCUUAAAUCUUCUUGUUUCGCUGAUAGCGAUCUAACUUCUCUGUCACUUGGCUGUGGCAAUGCUUAAAACUUCUGCAGAUCAAAACACCUUUUUCCUUUUAUUGGAUAUGUAUAGUGCAUGCCUUCAUUUUGUAUAAUCAGUAAUGUUCUUUGGCUUUUCAGAAGGUUCUUGUCUGUGUCAUCCCUGUGCCAAAAAGGAGCGUUACAAUGGUAGACGGGAGUUUUGAUGCAAGAUGUUCUAAAAAUGUUUUACCUCUGUUGGUGCCUCAUCCUUAGUCCCACGUAAGUCUCAUGAAUGGUUGGGAAUAGCUAAGUUAUUUUAUUGUUUUUUGACUAGAAUGUCAACAUGAUGUCAUGGUCUUACCCCUGAGGCCACAUUGUUUGACCAGGUGCCACAACCAAAGAAGCUGAAUGUCAAGUUUCCUACUAGUGUUAGUGUCAAUUUUUUAUAUUAAUAGUUAUUCUGUUUUUUCUUCUUGGUAUUUUAUGUUCCUUCAUUAAUAUUGGGAAUUUGGACCUAUGCAUUCUUUCAACCUGAUAUUUUAUUGUAAAAGAAAUGCCAUGAGCAUGGAUAACGGAUGUGGGCAUGAUAACUUGUCAAGUCACCAUACAAAAUUCAUGAAAGCAUAGUGAUUUGCGACCAGGCUGCCAUUGUUGGGAUUUUUGUUAUUGUGGAUUAUGGUGAUUAUUAAAGUCAUAACUGUGGCAAUUUUUUUCUAACAGGCUACUCGUUAUCCAUCACUUUAUGAAGCAAUCGAUGGGUUGUGCAACAGCUACUGAGCCAAGAUUAAAGCAGAAUGGAUUGUUGUGACAAAUUAUUGAUCUGGCACUACCAUGGAGUUUUCUACAGCACUAAUUCAUGGGAAAUAAAAAGCUGAUGAAGUCUUUAGGCCACUUGUACCUACUUUCACUGCAUUAUUUUUCAUAUACAUUCUUUUAGGGGAAAUGAGAAUGGGGGUGAGAGUGGGGAUGCUAAUUGGUAUAUCAAUAAAGUUUAUCACUGUUUGCUAAAGGAUACUUAUUUGUAUUCAGGUGAUGUGUCCUAACCAGGUAAUGGUUAUGCAAUCAGGGAGCUAAUCUCUACGAUCCAAACACAGAAAUUCAAUUAUAGCCAACUGGUGAGAUUUUUGCUUUGCUUUAUGAUUUUUACUUCAUCGUUUCAUAUAAUAGUUCACACAUAUCUGUCUUAUUUCUAAAGCAUAUCUCCAAUUAUAUUUACUUGCAUCUAGUUGAUGUCAGCAGAAUUUUAGAACUCAUCUGAGUUUCAAAAAUGUAUUAGUUCUAACUGUGUCUGACCAUAUACAAUAAAUAAUGAGAUAGCAUAAUGGGGAAUUCUUGGAAAAGUGAAGUAUACUUUAGAUAUACUUAUUAUUAUUGUCAUCGAAUGUCUGAAAAUAUUUGAUUUUUUUGCUUUUUGUUUAUAGCUCCUGAGAAAGGGAAAUGAGUGCCAAUAGUAAAAUCACCACAUAUUUGCAGAACCUGAGGUCUCCCAAUUGGGAAGGUGGGCAACACCUCACUUCAGUUCCCUUUCUAUAUAUAACUGUUAAUUAAAUUUUAAUUUUAAUACUUGAAAAUGCAGCAUGAUAAGAAGUUAUUGACCUUUCUUGGGAAGUAGAUUGAAAAUGUAGGGAUCAUUUGUAUGUUUUUUGCUGCUACUUUCCCUUUUUUUCUUAUGUUACUCAGGUCUCUCAUAUUUUCCUAUGUAAUGUAAUUGCAUAAGUUCAGGAAGAGUCAUGUCUAAAAUGUAACCACAAGAAUAUUUUAGUGAUGGCAGGUUCAGAUACUCAGGCAUGCCUCUUUCACCUAAGCACUGCUUGGGACCCUUGUGUCAAGAGGUUGAGGAGGAUUGCAAUUAUGUUCUAUAUUUAUGUCAAUUUUCUUGCAGUCCUGGUGCAAGUUACUUUCUCCGAUGAUGCUAUUUUGGUCUCAUCCCCUUUGCAUCAGAUUCCUGUUGCAAUGCGUUUGAGCCUUUUCUGGAUUACUCUGGUGGUUUACUUCCUAUUCUGCUGCUUCUCCAUGGCUAGUAAGAUAUGAGGCUGGCUUUAAUGAGAAACGGAGGUGGGUGGACGAGAUUAUUUUUCGUUGUAAGCUUUGUUCUCUGCAUUGGCGUAGACCUUUGGCUGAUGGCAUCUUGUUCUCGGACUAGGAUUCUGUGGCUUGCUCCCCUUCCUUCCAGUAACAUCUCCGUGGACCUGCUGGCUGCGGUUGAGUGUUAAGAGAUUCCUCUGGCUCUAUUCUAGCUUUGUUUUCUGGCCAAAUUGGUGUGCUAGACCAAUGUUGUUGAAAUAUAAUACUAUAUUUGCUUUGGAAAUUUUCUCUAGGACAUAUUGGAAAGAGAAAAAGGUGCUGGUGGUUGAAUGAGAUUCGACGGUAGUUGUGCCUUGGGUGAAAAAGUUUGAGGAUUGCCCAUGGAGUGUGUGUGUUACCUUCAAUUAGAUUGAUCCACUUAUUGCUGACAUUGGUGAAGUCUCCUUUGGUAAUAUCUGUUGGGAAGUUAACGGCCUUGCUGACUCUUUAGUGUGUAGAACUGGCAUGUUCAUGGCUUGGUGGUUCAGCAGGCUAUUAGUUUAUCUCCACCCUUUGGGCGCCAUUCUACCAGGCCUGUUAUUAGAGGUUUUAUGCUGUGUAUAUUUUUACGCUUUUGGGUGGUAGUGUAGUCACAGGGAGAUUGCUUGUUAUCUGUACAUGAACCCAAUAUAUAAGAACCAACUCAAGCCGCCACAAGAAUACUCAAGCAGUACAUCACAAGAGUCCAUAACUUUACCAGUAAGUUUUUAUAUUUUACACAUUGAUUGCAUGCUUCAUUCGUUAAGAACGAAAGAAACCAAAUGCUAACACAAGAAAGCACCUGGAGAAGCUUGUGUUUGGGAUUAGCUGAUGGAUGCAAACUAAAGUUAACAGAAAUAAUUUAGAAACUUUCUUCUUUCCCUUUGUAGAAGCAUACAUUGGGAGAUGAAAUUGAAGUUAUACAAGAAUAAAGCUAAUUAAGGGCCAAAGACAACCUUUCCACUCUGCAGCCUCCUUCCCAACCCAACAACAAAUAGCAAAACUUGCAUGAUGAACUCAUCUUACAUAAUGCCAUUUCUGUCUGCCAUAAGAUUAAGGCCUAGAAUUUUCAAUUUUUUUUUUUUUACUCAGCAAGAAUUUUCACUAUUGAAAAUUUAACGUGUGAAUAAAUUUAAAAAUAUUGGUAAAAUUAUAUUUUUUAAAUAUGAAUAAUAAUUAUGAAAAAAAAAUCUAUUAAUUAUUCACUUGACUUUACAAAAAAUAAAUACCAAUAAACUCGUUGUUCAUUACUUCUAUACCAUAUGUGAAUAGUCAUCAAAUAGUUGAAAUCAAAAUAAAGUAGCAUUAUUCUUUAAAAUUUUUCUCCAUCUCUCUCAUUUUUAUCUAUCUCUAUUUAACUUUUAUGUAUUUAUAUUAAAUUUUUUAUGUUUAUACAAAAUUGAGGUUCCAUGGUUUUUAAUAUAAAAAGUUAAAAAAAUCAUGAAAAAUUAUUUUGAAUAUAAAAAAGUAAUAGUAUUAGCUGUUAAAAAAAAGAAUAUAAUAUUAAAAUAUUAAAAAAAUAUAAUAUGAAUACCCUUUAUAAUAAUUUUAAUCAAAAUUAAAAUUUAUAUAAUUUAUUUUACCAAACAGUUUUAACUUAAUUUUAAAAUAUAUUAUUUUCAUAAAAACUUCCUAAUAACUUUUAAGUUAAAAAAAAAAAACCUAAACCAAACAUGCUCUUCGUAAGUUUCUACUUUGUUAAUGGCUCUAAUAUUUUUCCCUCUUUUUUAACUAUGUAUUUCGUAGUUUCAGGGUGGAUUUGAUGGUGUCAGGCAUCAUCUUCCUUAGGGAAGCUAGUGAACUUGCUCUAGAAGCCGGCAAAGCCAAACAUACCUUAUGGACCAAUAUGUGCGUCUUCAACUUGUCUUGGAGCACAUGGCUUACUCAAGGUAAUUUCAACGUCACUUUCUUGGAGACAUUUUAUGGAGAUUAUAUUUAUCCUAGUGACUUGGUCAAUUUAGAAACUUAUCAAACAAAUCAUGAACUUAGUACUUGAAAAGCCAUAAUCUAGUGUUGUUACAUGAAGUAGAUUCUAGAGAGGUGAUUCAAUUUCUUCCAAUAUAUUUUGCAGACGGCAAUUGCUAUUUAGAUUUAACCGAGCACUUCUGGACUUGACAAUUUUGAACUUAUCUUCAAAGAAGUGAGGAAAGGGAAUAAAGUUGGUCUGUAAUUGUGGUACUCUGUAAAAUUCUAAUUUUGUAUUGACUUUUCAUUAGCAGUCAAAUAAUAUUGUUUCCACACCCACUGAAUAUUACUCAUUAGUUACAGGAGGAAUUAUGGAAAACUAGUUGAGAUCAUAGAAGGGAAAAAGGGCAAAAAUCAGAGAAACUACCAUGCUUGUAGAUAUAUGGUAUGUCUCCCUUUUCUUUUUGCACUUUGAUAACAAUUAAUUAAAGUUUUUAUGGCAACCAAGUUUUAGUCUACUUGUGCAGGCAGAAAUCUGAGCAAGAGUAUGAAGCAGCAAGGAUGAAAUUUAGCCUGGAGUUGUAAUCUAUUGACUCUAUAACCAAUUCAAAGCAGAGGUGAGCUUUUAUUAGGCUACCUUAUGCCUCACCAAUGGAAAAUCCCUUACUGUUGUAUAAGUUGGCAUACAGAGAUGCAAAGAGCUCAUGUAACAGCUUCCUUGGCUCUUUAUGUCCUGCUUUUUCUGCUGCUAAUAUUACACAUUUACCAUACCCUGCGUUUGGGUUCNNNNNNNNNNNNNNNNNNNNNNNNNNNNNNNNNNNNNNNNNNNNNNNNNNNNNNNNNNNNNNNNNNNNNNNNNNNNNNNNNNNNNNNNNNNNNNNNNNNNNNNNNNNNNNNAAAAAAAAAAACCUAAACCAAACAUGCUCUUCGUAAGUUUCUACUUUGUUAAUGGCUCUAAUAUUUUUCCCUCUUUUUUAACUAUGUAUUUCGUAGUUUCAGGGUGGAUUUGAUGGUGUCAGGCAUCAUCUUCCUUAGGGAAGCUAGUGAACUUGCUCUAGAAGCCGGCAAAGCCAAACAUACCUUAUGGACCAAUAUGUGCGUCUUCAACUUGUCUUGGAGCACAUGGCUUACUCAAGGUAAUUUCAACGUCACUUUCUUGGAGACAUUUUAUGGAGAUUAUAUUUAUCCUAGUGACUUGGUCAAUUUAGAAACUUAUCAAACAAAUCAUGAACUUAGUACUUGAAAAGCCAUAAUCUAGUGUUGUUACAUGAAGUAGAUUCUAGAGAGGUGAUUCAAUUUCUUCCAAUAUAUUUUGCAGACGGCAAUUGCUAUUUAGAUUUAACCGAGCACUUCUGGACUUGACAAUUUUGAACUUAUCUUCAAAGAAGUGAGGAAAGGGAAUAAAGUUGGUCUGUAAUUGUGGUACUCUGUAAAAUUCUAAUUUUGUAUUGACUUUUCAUUAGCAGUCAAAUAAUAUUGUUUCCACACCCACUGAAUAUUACUCAUUAGUUACAGGAGGAAUUAUGGAAAACUAGUUGAGAUCAUAGAAGGGAAAAAGGGCAAAAAUCAGAGAAACUACCAUGCUUGUAGAUAUAUGGUAUGUCUCCCUUUUCUUUUUGCACUUUGAUAACAAUUAAUUAAAGUUUUUAUGGCAACCAAGUUUUAGUCUACUUGUGCAGGCAGAAAUCUGAGCAAGAGUAUGAAGCAGCAAGGAUGAAAUUUAGCCUGGAGUUGUAAUCUAUUGACUCUAUAACCAAUUCAAAGCAGAGGUGAGCUUUUAUUAGGCUACCUUAUGCCUCACCAAUGGAAAAUCCCUUACUGUUGUAUAAGUUGGCAUACAGAGAUGCAAAGAGCUCAUGUAACAGCUUCCUUGGCUCUUUAUGUCCUGCUUUUUCUGCUGCUAAUAUUACACAUUUACCAUACCCUGCGUUUGGGUUCAUCAGGCUUCAGCACUAAUCUGUCGAUGUCAAUCCCAGUGAAUCUUAAAUGCCUCCAAAUGAGGCAAAAAGUGUCAAUAGUGGCAGUAUCAAUGCUAGCAUAUAUAAAAAAAUAUAAAUAGGGUCACAAACUCCGACAUUUUGAACCCCUUGUUGCUCCAGUUUGUGUGAAUUGUUUGACCUAGGUGCCACAACCAAAGGAGCUGAAUAACAAGUUUCCUAGUUUUAGUGUCAAAUUUUUUAUGUUAAUAGUUACUCUGUUUUUCUUCUUGGCAUUUUAUAUUUAUUCACUACGAUUGGGAAUUUCUUAUAUGUGUUAUGUCUUUUCUUUAACAGAAACAGGGGAAACAGAAUAAAAAGGAAAGAAAGAUAAAUAAAAUUUAAAAUAAAAUGUAUUUAUUUGUUUUCAUAAACUUUUGAAAUGAUAGUGAACUAUGCGGUACUUAUAGGACUUUUCUUGCUGCCAAGCAGUGACAUACAAAAGCUAAACAUUUAAAAUGUUUCAUUUGACCUAGUAACUAAAAUAUUGCCACUACCUACAUCUUGGGAGCUUAGUGACUGUUUAGCUUGAUUUUUUUUUAACUUAUUUACUUAUUAAAAAUAGAAGUCAAUUCAAAUAGGAUUUUUGGCAAGAAAUUUUUUUAAAAAAACAAAAUUUAAAAAAAACCUUAAAGAAAAAAUUUGAAUAUGAACUUUCACUUCUCUUCUUUUCAAAAUACAUCAGCUUUUCAAAAAAUACUCAUCUCUCUCUCAAUCAAUCUCCCUCUACUCUCCCUCCUUCUACAAAUCACUUUUUUCUAACAUAAAUGACAAUCUCCCUCUCUCUCUACAAAGACUACUAGAAAAAAAAAAAAAAUCUAGCAACAGAAUAACAAAAUUUAAAGUUUUUUUGUUUUUACAAAAAUUAAAAAGGAAAAAAAAUCUAAAAUUUAAAGCUGCAUUUAGUAACUAUUUAAAGAUUUUUUUUUUUUCACAAAAAAUGAUUUUAAUAUCAAAUACAUCAUUUUCUCUUUUUUUUUUUGUUGAGGAAUUGAAGCAUCAUGGUCUGAUUAUUUGUUGGAUUAAUAAAAAUCUAAUACUAUUACUAGUACACAAGUUUGAGCAUUAUUUCGUUUUUUUAUGGAUUUUUUUAUUUUACCAUCUAAAAUCAUAUAUAAACUCAAAACAAACUUAUUCUGCUUUAAUUUUUUAAAUGUUUGAAAAUGAUAUGAAUACGCUUUAUGAUAAUUUUAAUCAAAAUUAAAAUUUAUAUUAUUUAUUUUACUAAACAUCUUACCAAACAACUUUAAUUUAAUUUUAAAAUAUAUUAUUUUUCAUAAAACCUUUGUAAUAGUUUUAGAUUAAAAAAAAGCUAAGCUAAACAGUUUCUUUGUAUGUUUUAACUUUGUUAAUGGCUCUAAUAUUUUUUCCCUUCUUUUUAACUAUGUAUUUCGUAGUUUCAGGUGGAUUUGAUGGUGUCAGGCAUCAUCUUCCUUAGGGAAGCUAGUGAAUUUGCACUAAAAGCCGGUAAACCCAAAACAUACCUCAUGGAGCAAUACGUGCAUCUUCAGCUUGUCCUGGAGCCCACGGCUUACUCAAGGUAAUGUCAACAUCACUUUCUUGGAGACAUUUUAUCUUGGUGACUUUGUAAAUUUGAAAACUUAUCAAACAAAUUAUGAACUUAGUACUUGAAAAGCCAUAAUCUAGUGUUGUUACAUGAAGCAGUUUCUAGAGAGGUGAUUCAAUUUCUUCCAAUAUAUGUUGCAUUAGGGAAUUGCUAUUUAGAUUUAACCGUGCACUUCUGGACUUGACAAUUUUGAACUUAUCUUGAGCAAAUUUAAGAUUGCUUAUCUUGAAAGAAGUGAGGAAAGGGAAUAAAGUUGGUCAGUAAUUAUGGUACUCUGUAAAAUUCUAAUUUUGUAUUGAAUUUUCACUAGCAGUCAGAUAAGAUUGUUUCCACACCCACUGAAUAUUACCCAUUAGUCACAGGAGGAAUUGUGGAAAACUAGUGGAUAUCAUAGAAGGGAAAAAGGGCAAAAAUCAGAGAAACUACCAUGCUUGUAGAUAUAUGGUAUGUCAAUUGGAAAAUCCUCCCUUUUCUUUUUGCACUUUGAUAAUAAUUAAUUAAAGUUUUUAUGGUAACCAAGUUUUAGUCUAGUUGUACAUGCAGAAAUCUGAGUCCGGUUGUAAUCUAUUGAGACCAAUUCAAAGCAGAGGUGAGCUUUUAUUAGGCUACCUUAUGCCUCACCAGUGAAAAAUCCCUUACUGUUGUACAAGUUGGCAUACAGAGAUGCAAAGAGCUCAUGUAACAGCUUCCUUGGCUCUUUAUGUCCUGCUUUUUCUGCUGCUAAUAUUACACAUUUACCAUACCCUGCAUUUUGGUUCUUCAGGCUUCAGCACUAAUCUCUCUAUGCCAAUCCCAGUGAAUCUUGAAUGCCUCCAAAUGAGGCAAAAAGUGUCAAUAGUGGCAGCAUCAUGCUAACAUAUAUCAUUGCACCAUGUCACCAGCGGAAGAUCGAUCAAUGUCAUUGAUAGUCAAGAUUUUACUUUUCUAACACUACAAAUCAGUUGAGUAAGAAACAACUGACUAGAAAAUUUGCUCCAUUUAGCAUUGCUCUCUGCAAAGAACUUGUUUGAAUUCAUCAAUAGUAUCACGACUAAUAGAUUCACACCCAUCCCCUAAUAAAUUUCGUAGAUAGACUUUGUAAUGUGUCAUAAACUAGUUGAGCUUUCAGUUUUCUUCUUUCUUUUCAUGAUUAUGCUAUAUAAAGUUUGCAUCCUAUGGUAUUGGAAAUUUGGAAGGGUUAAUUUUCUUGUGCAUUUUGAGUUGAGAUUAGAGAUAUAUAAUGGAUUCAAGCUAAAUGUUAAUCUCUUUUUCCUACUCUUCCUCCUAUCUCCAUUAUCUUCUUAUUUGGCAAAUAAAGAGAUCUAACAAAGUUCAAUACAAGAAAUAAACUGAAAAUUUUGAUGGCUAUCCUCUGAUGGAUGUUAAGCCAUAAGCUACCCCGCAUUGCAGCAUGAGCGGGCCUUAAAUCUUCUUUUCUAGCUAAUAGCAAUCUAACUUCUCUUUCACUUGACUGUGGCCAAGCUCAGAACUUCUGCAAAUGAAAACACCUUUUUCCUUUAUUAGAUAUGCUUAUAAAUGUCAACAUGAUGUCAUAGCCUUGUCCUUUAUUAGAUAUUCACUACGAUUUGGAAUUUCUUAUGUGUGUUAUGUCUUUUUUUUAACACUGCUUCCGCUUCCAAAGUGUUAAAUGGUAAGGCAAACUUCUUCAAACAGUUCGUGCAUUUAGUUUCAUAGAACUGCUUUUUUCUUUUAAUUCCUUCUGUGCUUCGAGGUUUUUUUGGCUGUUUUUGAAUGGGACUGAGCUGAUGGAGGCUUUUAUAAUAAUAAACCUAUUGAGGAGAUGAAAGAUAAUGUGACAGGGGAUUCUGUCAACAAGAAGCUUUGCAUGCUUGCCACAGUGUCAAUAUUGUUGCUGAUGCUCUUAUCUCUGAUUUCAAUGCCAUGGUUGUCAAUCUCAUUGCACCCCCUCUAGGCUGUAAGUGCCUCUCUCUGUUUGAAUGAUGCUUGUGUUUCUGAUUCCAUUUUUUUGUUGUUUGAGCUUGAGAUUUCCUUUUGCAAGACAGUUCCCAAAUUUUGUGUUUGAAUUUGGAAUUUGGACCUCUGGAUUCUUAGAAAAUAUUUUAUAAAACAGUGUCUAACCGUAUACAAUGAAUAAUGAGAUAGCUUAAUAGGGGAUUCUUAGAAAAGUAAAGUUUUAGAAAUAUUUAUUAUUAUUGUCAGAAAGGGCAGGAAAGCGGCACAGAAUCAGAGAAUAGGAAUAUUCUUAUUUCACAAAAGUAGGGAAAAGCCUUUACAAGGUUUAUAUACAAAGAUUCAGUAUAAAGCUAAAAAGGAAAAACAAGUCAUUAAAGCAUAACUAACUAAUCAGUACAUUAACUAAUUUUUGAAAUAAAACGGUGCAGCUUUGAUUUCUUCUCCUUUUAUUGAAACGUUGCCUACAGGUCUUCUCUUCUUCCUUUCUACCCCAUUUUUAUUGAAACGGUGCGUUGGGGUCUUCUCCUUGUGACUGUCUUCUUUUCAACCCGAUCACCUCUGCUCAGGUCAGUCACUUAUUCAGCUUUUCAAUUCUUCAAGUGUAAGUUCAAUAAUUAUUGCCAUCAAAUAUCUGAAAGAGAUUUGAUUUUUACUUCUUUUUUAUAGCUCCUGAGAAAGGGAAAUGAGUGCGAAAAGUAAAAUCACCUCGAGAUAUUUGCAGAACUCGAGGUCUUUCAAUUGAGAAGGUAGGCAGCACCUCACUUCAGUUCCCUUUCUAUAUGUACCUGUUAAUUAAAUUUUAAUUUUAAUUUCAAUAUAUAACAUUUCUUGGGAUGUAGAUUGAAUUCUGCUUUGGGUUUGUAGGGAUCAUUUGCGUGUUCUUUGCUGCCACUGCAACCACUGCUGCUGCUACUUUUGCUUUUUUUCAUAGGUUACUCAGGUCUCUCUUAUUUUCCUAUGUAAUGUAAAUAUACGUAAUUGAUUUCUUUACAUCACAAGUCCUAGAAGAGUCUGGUCUAAAAUGUAACCACAACACUGUUUUGAUGAUGGCUGGCAGGUUCAUUUACCCCCAGAGAUAGGGCGUGCCUCUUUCAGCUGAACACUGUUAAGGACCCUAGUGUCAAGAGAUUGAGGAGGAUGGCAAUCAUGUUCUAUAUUUAUGUCAAAUGUUCUUGCAGUUCCGGUGCAAGUUACUUCCUCCCAUGAUGCUAUUUUGGUCUCAUCCCUUUUGCAUCAAAUUCCUCUUGCAAUGCUUGUGAGACUUUUCUGGAUUGCUCUGGUGGUUUGCUGUCCAUAUAUUCUGCUGCCUCUCCAUGGCUAGUAAGAUAUGAGUCUGGCUUUAAUGAGAAAAAGUGGUGGGCUGAUGAGAUUAUUUUUCUUUGUAAGCUUUGUUCUCUGCAUUGGGUUAGAGCUUGGGCUGAUGGCAUCUUGUUUUUGGACUAAGAUUCUGUGGCUUUAAGGAGACUUGGUGAAGUCUUUGAAGCAUGUUGCCCUGUCAAAUUUAUCACCUGUUGAUUGUCAGUGGCAUCCAGAAGAAGUGAAUGGUUAUCUAUCACCUCUGCAAGCAGCUGGAUUUCCAGUUCUCUUUCUCCCAUUUGUAUUUUUUCCUUCCCCUAAAAAGUUGCCAAGAUAGGCCUUGGGUUUCUUCCUAUGUAUUUCAACUGUUUGUUCAUUCAUAGCUCCCUGUGUAUCACAACUUGUCCUGAAAAUUUUAAUUUAGUAUUUCAAUGAAUGAUGUGGCUUACUCAUAAAGUCAAAUUCAAACUUCCUUAAUAUAAAUUCGGCAUCUACCAGUCAACUAUCUUAUAACAUUCUAGUGUUUGGUCACUAUUAUAGUUCGACGAGACUAUAAAAAAAAUCUUAGUAAGUUCUUAUUACGAUUAAAUUCAAGUUUAUUGAAUGUUUCUAAUCAAAAUUUUUAUAAAUGAUUGUAAUUGAAUGUCUCAUGAAUCAAGGUAAAAUUAAUUACUAAGUAAUUUUAAUUCAAUUUUUUGAUAGUUUUAAUAGCUAAGCUAUACCUUGCACUUUUCAUUAACACUUGCCAACACAUUUAUUAUAAUUCUAUUAAUUAGGUACUUGUUUAUUGCCAAAUAUUUCUUCUAUAAGGUUUGCUUGUGCACUCCAUUGAUAUUUUUUUUUUGGAAUUUAAAAUAUAUUCUUUUACAUUGUCUAACAAUUCAACUGUCAUAUUUUUUUACAAAAAUAAACACCAAUAAAGUAGUUGUUCAUUAUUUCUAUACCAUUUGUAAUACUCGUCAAAUAGUUGAAAUCAAAUAAAGUCAUAUUAUUCUUUAAAAUUUUUCUUCAUUUGUCUCAUUUUUAUUUAUCUCCAUUUAACUUUCACAAAAUAUAAAAAAAAAUUAUUUUGAUGUAUUUAUAUUAAAUUUUUUAUUUUUUUACAUAAAUUGAGGUUUCAUGGUUUUUAAUAUACAAAAUACAAAAAGAUCAUGAAAAAUAAUUUUUGAAUAUAAAAGAAAUUAAAAUUAAUAAGGAAGUCAUUGAGCCUAAGAUACCUGUCUCAUCUAAGCAUUUCAUGCAUGAAUGCUUUUCAUUUUUUAAUGAAAAGUAGUAAUACAAUAUUUACAUUUCUCUACAACUAUUACAUAAAUAAGCCAAUAUUUUCAUUGGCAGAAAUAUUACAUUUGGAUAUUUUUCUACAUUCGAUGCAUUGGCAGUAUUUUUUUUUUAACGUUAUAAGUAAGUUUAAAGGGUUGACAUGUAUUCAUUUAGGUAUAUUUUAAAAGAAAAUAAUGAAUUGUUUAAUUCUUAAAUAAACAUAUAAAAAUUUUAAUCUCACUUGUGGAAUUAAAAGAAUUUACUAUCAAUAUACAAAAUAAUAAUCUAUUUUUUCAUAAAACUAAGCAAACUCAUCACUUUAAUUUUUUCAUUCUCUUUUUUUUUUUUGCUAUAUUUUUAUACUUGUAGGGUUACUCACAUUUUUCAAGUAAUUAAAUUUAUUUAUCAUAUGAAUAAUUUUUAAAAAAAUUUAUUAGAAAAUAAAAAUAACUAGGGUUUGGGGAAGUAAGGGGCAAACGGCACUGUUUAGGAGAGAUAACAACGUAAAAAAAUAUAAUAAGGUUUAAGUUAUCCUAUGGAUGAUACCCAGAAUGUAUCCAAAUUUGAGUUAGAUAUUAAAACUUUAUCCAAACUUGCUACAUAAUCAAAUAUAGGGUACUCAAACUUUAUGUUAUCAAGUCGGAUAUCCGUAGAUCUAUUGUAUAACAAUUUCUUUAGGAAACUAUUGAUUGCCUGUACUUAUACCAAAAGGAAUGAACAAGUUAUUUUACUAUAAAUAACAAUAGGACCACUAUAGCAAAAAAAGAGAAUUGCAAGUAAAUGAAAAAUUUUCUACACACUAACUUUAAAGUUUUUAGUUAACAAAUUAAAAAAUUGUCUUAUGAUUGAUUAGAGUAUGUUUAUUGAAAUCAAUAAAUUGUUAUAAUAAUUAAAUAAAUAUGCUAUAUAUAAAAUAAUAAUUUGGCCAAAGAAAAGAGGACAUACUAUUAAAUCAAAAUUUGAACCAACAUGAACCCACCACCACUAGCUUGUUUAGUGCCCAUUUCCUUUAUUUUCCAUGAAGAAGAAUUAAUCAGCCAAGUAACGAUAAAAAAAAGAAAGAUAUUUAAAGAAAUUUUGAUAAAACAGAAUAAAUUACAAAUAUAAUUUUGUUUUGUUGAAGUAUUUUGAAGCACAAAAUUGAGAAAGACCAAUAAUUAAAUAAGCUUUGAUUGAUUUAUUUGAUAAUAACGAAAUCUGUGAAUACCAAAAGGCUGAAAUUAAGUAAGGAAAUGCUUCAUUUUAAAGAGAGAGUAAGGAAAGAAGAAGCAAGUAAAACCAUGGAAAGAUGCAGUAAAAUUAAGAGAGCAAUGAAUGAAGGGAUUAAUGAAUACUUCGGCACGCACCUAAGGACAUGUGAAUUUGUUUAAUAAAUUUUAAAUUGUUUCCAAAGGGAGAGGAAUAGUUGUGAUCAAAGUAUUGGAACACGUGGCCGUACUGGUUCUUUAACUUGGUUUUGCCUUUAUUCAUGGCAGAAACAAACAGAAGUACUACAGUACCCUAAAUAGUCCAAUAACCAAAUUAUUACUACUCACUAGAAUUGAACCCCUACUUUGCGUUGCGGCAAAAUGAAAGAAUAUUUAUUUCGUUGGAUAGAAAACUUUUGAGUUAGAAUUGUUUGUCUUAAAUUAUGUGUUUGUAAAAAUAUCUAUACACAAAAAUUAUUGUAAAGGUAACCACAAAGUGAAUAAUUGUUACAUGGUUGUUCACAAUUUUAUGUAUUAAUUUUCAACUAACUCACAAAAAGUUAAUGCUUAUGAAAAAAAUUAAGAUAAAAUAUAAAUUGUUAUGAAUCAGAAUUAUAUUGUGUUGUUACUAUAAAAGCUAUUAAAGUAAUUUCGUAACUUAAGUAGUUUCUAUUAAAUUUAAUAGAGUAGUAGAGUAUACUGAUUUGAUCAAUAUAUUCCCAACAUUACUGUUAUAUAUUAACUUAAUUAAGAAUAAAGUAACCUAUUUUUCAUAAAAAAACCAACAAAUUCGAACAAAAUUGAAUAAAUAUCUAAAUAAGAUACAUACAAAAAAAUAAACUGAAAAAAAAUAACAAAUUUUUUGUGCUCAAAUACAAAGAUAAGAAACAAACAUAAGGAGGCAGAAAAGAAAUUAAUUAAAAAAUACCAAGCAACUCCAUAUCAGAUUCAAUUUUGUAGCUUUCAUGUGCUCUUAUGAAUAAAUUUUUUACAAACUAUUUAUAGAAAUAAUUACAUAGUUGUCAUAUUAAAGAGACUAAUAAGGAUAGCAGCACACCGAUAAAUAGUUUGUGAUUCUUUUAUGCUAGCUGCUUUGACCUGAGCAUGUGAAAGAAGAAAAAAAAUAUUAAUGGCAGAAAGAAGGAGAAACUAAAGAGAGGUUUGCACAUGAUAUUCAUUAAAUUAAGAUGUUGUAUAAAUAUUUUUUUACAAUCAAUAAUCCAUGGAUUAUAAUAUAAAACUUCAAUGAACGCAAAUAAAAGGUCAUAAAAUAACUAAAUGAUUAUGAAUGAGUAACAAAUAAGGAACCAAAACAAAUUGAAAAUUACAAUCAGAUAAGGCAAGCAAAAAUAAUAGAAAGGAAAGAAACAGAGAAAAAACAAUUGUUACAAAGACAAAAAAUCAAAACUUGAUGAUAAAUAAAAACAAUGAAAUCAGAAACAUGUGAUCAUAAAAAUAUUACCAUAGAUUGUGACAAUCCUUGUCUUCGGACGUGUAACUUGGUAGUUAAUAGAAACUUCUAAUUAAGAGGAGUGGGAUAAAGAUUAAAGAGAAAUAUUUUAAUCACCUUUACUUGGACUUCUUUUUGGGUGUUCUUACUUCGCACUAAACUAUUUCCUUUAAUGCUUCGCCAGUCUUUGCCCAUCACCAAGAAAUCAUUUGGAACAUCAAAUUAAAAAUGCUGAUAAAUGUAAAUGUCAACAAAAAAAAAUAAAAAAUGACUAAAACAAAUGUAAAUAGGUUUGUCACUUAGGCAAGCAGCAAAUAAAUAAUUUGACUGCGCAAAGAUGUAUAGAAACACAUAAGUUGAAGUUAAAAACCUUUGCCUGAAUUAAUUGUACAUCCUUCACCACAAACUCUGCAGCUUUGUUAUGAUCCUCUCUUUGAAGGACAGAAUAUACAUCGUUGACUAGAGCCUCCUCAAAGUUUAAGCCACAAAAGUUGUCAAAUCAAUAUCUCCAUAAGAAAGAUAGAUCUUCAAGGGAUUGAUCCAAAUGGAAUUACUUAUAAUAAGUAUAAAUAAAAUAAAUAAUUAACAUCUAUUUAAAUUGUUCAGUAAUUCAUAUUUAACGUUCUUACGUUCAUGAUCGCAUCAAUAAACAACCAAUGAAAAAUCAUAAGAAUUUAUUCUCAACAGAUUAAAGAUGAAAAAAAAAACAUCAAAUGGCUCAUUCAUCCACCACAACUAAGAGAUAUGGCUAUCACUAUAACACAAAAGCACAACUAUACAAAUAAAUAAUGGAAUGAAGGAAAAAUUAUUUUUUAAAAAUACCCUAUAUGAAAUGGGAGUAAUCAAAUUUCUUUUUAUAUAUUUAAUGGAGUUAAGAAACAACAAUGAAAGCCGAAAAGAAAAAAAAAGGGGACAAAACAAAACUGGGAAAAGAUAGAUAGUAGUCAAAAAUGAAAAGAAAACCCUUGAGAAGAAAAACGCAAAAUCAAAGUAGAGAAAGACACAAAACACAGAAAAUAAGAAAGCAAACUAGCCAAACUCAAAGGGAGAAAUCAGCAAAAACAGAGCAUACAAAUCAAAAAAUGAAGGACACAAACUCGAAAGAACAGAAAGUAUGGCCUUAGAGUAACCAAAAUAAAUAAAGACAAACUCCUCACCCAAAUUUGAAAAUCAAGUCAGACGUGAAACGAAAGCAUGAAAAGCAAGUUAAGCACGUCAUUCCAUUAAAAUCACACACGUGUUUUGUCUGAAAAAAUACGCAGUUCGAGACACCAAACACAUCACAACACCAACUUGGCUCCUCCAACCUUCACGUGGUAAAACUUGGGGACCUGUUGGAGCAUGAAAGCAUUUUACACAAUACCAAGGACUUGGAUGAAAAUGCGUUCAAUGGAUUGACGGGGGUAAAGAUUUUUUUUUUAAAUGUUGCUUUAAUUUAAUUAUGUGUUAAUUGACUCUUCUCUAAAUUGACUUACUCAUUAUGGAUUUAUAAAUUAAAAAUGUGAACAUUAUCUGAGUUGACACGUGGAUAAAUAAGGAAGCCCUUUUGGGGCUUCGUUUUACUUACGUUAUAGAUACUUGUGAAUGCCGUUGAUGCCUUGUCACUAUGAAGAAGGUAACACAUGUAUAGCUAGAUCUAAGAAUAGUACUAGCCUAUCUAUUCCCCGGUUGUUUAUCACGCAAAGGGCGAAGAAUCUUUCAAAGUUCGAUAAGUACUUUAUUGAAAGUACGAAUUUGCUUUUGAUGACUCCGUGCCAGCUUUUUCCUUGUCUUUUUCCCACACUGCCGCUGGCCUCCAACAAACUACUGGUCAUGGGGUCUUUAUUCCAAUGCCUUUACUCAAGUGUUAAGCUACCCCACACAAACUCUUUUAACUUUCACACAGCAAAAAACACCUCUUUUCCACAUACGUACUUCGAUCUCCAUUUUUGAUUUCUCUCUUUCUUUCCUGAGCAUAACUAUCAUGUCUUUUCUUGGGGAGGUUGCUCUCACAGCUUUCUUUGAUGGGUUGUUUGGCAAGCUAUCCUCUUCUGAUUUCCUCAACUUUGUAACUGAAAAGCAGGUCUUCCAGGAGAUCAACAAGUGGAAAAAGAUGCUGCGGGAUAUCCGUGCCGUGCUUGAUGAUGCAGAGGGGAAGCAGAUGAAGGAUCAGUAUGUGAAGAACUGGUUGGCCGAUCUUCAAGACUUGGCUUACGAUGUUGAUGACAUUUUGGACGAGUUUGCCACUGAAGCUUUGGGGCACAAGCUGACAUCCUUGGAGGAACCUCAAGGCAUAAAAAAUAAGGUACAAAAGAUCAUUCAUGCUUGUUUCUCUUCAAAAACUUUCAUGUUUAAUAAUAAGAUGAUGUCCAAGAUUAAAGAGAUCAGUGCUAGAAUGAAUGAUUUGGCCACACAAAGAACUCAAUUGGAAUUGCGAGGCAUUAAUGGGGGAGCAAGGUCCAACAGACUGAUACAAAGGCUUCAGCCUACUUCUUUGGUGGAUGAAACUCAGGUGUACGGUAGGCAAGAAGAAAAGGCAGCAUUACUUGAAUUGCUUCUGAGCAAUGGUGGUACUGACAAUGAAGCUUCUGUGAUUCCCAUCGUUGGCAUGGGAGGAAUUGGCAAGACAACUCUCGCACAACUUGUCUACAAUGAUACUAGGAUACAAAAUUCUUUCCAUGACAAGGCGUGGGUAUGCGUUUCUGAUGAUUUUGAUGCCGUUAUGAUAACGAAGACAAUUCUACAAUCAAUUGCUCCUGAUUCUUGUACCAAUAUUAAUGAUUUCAAUUUGCUUCAAGUCAAGUUGAAGGAGAAGCUGGCUGGGAAAAAGUUUUUGCUUGUCUUGGAUGAUAUCUGGAACGAGAAUUAUCUGGAGCUGACCAACCUACUCUCUCCAUUCAGAGUUGGAACCAAAAUUCUCAUUACAACACGGAGUCACAAUGUUUCUUCUAUUAUGGGCACUGUUAAAGCUUACCCGCUACAAAAGUUAUCACAGGAAAAUUGUCUAUCUGUAUUUACUCAACAUGCAUUAAGGGCAAAUGAUUUUAGUGGGCAUCCUGAAUUAAAAGAAGUUGGGGAAAUUAUAGUGAAAAAGUGUAAAGGCUUACCUUUGGCUGCUAAAGCCAUUGGUGGUUUACUACGCACUAGCCUGUACUAUGAGGCAUGGAAAGGUAUAUCAGAAAGCGAGAUAUGGGGCAUACCAGAAGAGGAAUGUGGCAUAAUUCCAGCUCUACGUUUGAGCUACCAUCAUCUUCCUUCACAUUUGAAGCGAUGCUUUGCAUAUUGCUCUAUACUCCAUAAAGAUUAUGAAUUCGGGGAGGAGGAAAUAAUCCUGUUAUGGAAAGCAGAAGGUUUUCUACAACCAGCAAGCCUUGGAACUCAACUCGAAGUUCUAGGUAGUCAAUAUUUUCGAGAUCUAGUCUCAAGGUCAUUUUUUCAAGCAUCUACUAGGAACAAAUCUCGAUUCAUAAUGCAUGAUCUUGUCAAUGAUCUAGCUCAAUCGGUUGCAGGGGAAAUAUGCUCCAAAUUGGAGGAUGAUAAACAGUUGAGAUUUUCGAAAGGUACUCGACAUUCAUCUUAUGUUCGUGGUCGUUAUGAUGGAAUGAAAAAGUUUGAAGCCUUAAAUCAAACAAAGCAUUUACGAACCUUUCUACAGUUUCCUGGAUCGUCAUGGGCACCUGAAGGUGAUUGUUAUUUAAGUAAGAAUGUCCUGGUUGAUUUACUGCCCAAACUUAGAUGCUUAAGAGUUCUUUCUUUGAAAGGGUAUCGCAUCAUUGAGUUACCAAACUUUUUUCAUAACUUAAUGCAUUUGCGCUACUUGGACUUUUCUCAUACUACAAUUAAAAGUUUGCCUGAUUCAAUACACAUCCUUUAUAAUUUAGAAACUUUACUAUUAUGUGGUUGUAGAUUGCUUGAAAAUCUACCUUCAAAUUUACAAAUUCUAGUCAACUUACGUGUUCUCGACAUCACUAAUACACCUUCAAUGAAAGGGAUGCCAUUUGGAGUUGGUAACUUAACCAAUCUUCGAAGACUAUCUGAUUUUGUUUUGGGCAAAGGUGAUGGACAUCAUAUACAAGAGAUGAAGAAUUUGUUAAAUCUGAAGGGUAAGCUUUGUAUCUCAGGGUUAGAGAACAUUGUUAAUGCUCAAGAUGCAUGGGAGGCUAAGUUAAUAUAUAAGUCAGGCCUUCGCACAUUAGAACUAAAGUGGAGUAGAGAAUUUGAUAGUAAUAGAAAUAAAGAAGUUGAAGAAGAGGUCUUGAAUUUGCUUGAACCUCAUAAAAAGCUUGAAGAGCUCUUCAUUCAGGAUUAUGGUGGUACAAAAUUUCCGAUUUGGAUGAAUUCUUCAUUACAAAAUUUGCCGUCUUUGGUUCUCAAGGGCUGUAAAAAUUGCGUAUCACUACCAUCAAUUGGAAAAUUACCAUUGUUGAAGAAUCUUUCUAUUGCUGGAAUGGAUGAGUUAAAAAAGGUUGGCAUUGAGUUCUAUGGGGAGAAUCACUCAAAUGCAUUUGCUUUGUUACAGAGUUUGAGCUUUGAGAAUAUGCCACGAUGGAAGGAAUGGGACUUAGUUGAUGAGCAAGUUGAGAAAUUCCCUAGCCUCAUCGAGCUUUCCAUCAAAAACUGCCCUCAAUUGUUGGGAAGGUUGCCUAACCAUCUUCGUUCCUUGGAGAAGCUUGAAAUUCGUGACUGUGCACAAAUGGUGGUUUCACUUUCAGACCUUCCAAAGCUGUCUCAAUUACAAAUAGAUAGGUGUGCAGAGUUGGUGCUUAAAGAUGAUGCAGACUUUUGCUCAAUAAAAAAAAUCCAUCUUUCAAACGUUGGAAAGUUUUCUACUCCAACAGAAAGGCUGGUAUCAACAUCAACAACAUUGGAGCAUUGUGAGAUUUCUGAUUGUGAGGGAUUGACAUAUUUAUCGCUAAAGAAGUUGGGACUGUUGGGAUCUGUCCGUAAAUUGGAAAUUUAUAAUUGUCCACACCUUCUGUUUUUAGAGCCAGAUGAGGUAGAGGAGGCAGAGGAGGAGCUGUUUCAAGUUGGGAAUCUUUGCAAUAUCGAAUCUUUGAUAAUAUGGCAAAUUGGUCUUAAUAUGGAAUCUUUGAGAAUAAGAAAGCAUUUUCUCCCAUUUCUUACAGAGAUGAAUAUUCAAAACUGCCCAAACAUAGUUUGUUUUGCAAAGAACAACUUUCCCCCACUUCUGAAAAAGUUAGAGAUUGUAAAUUGCGAGAAUUUGCGGUGUUUGGUGGAUGAAGGAGAAAAUAUAAGCAUCGGUAACAUAUCUUCUCUUGAGCUUUUGGAUAUUGAUGGCUGUCCAUCUCUAAUAUCAUUAUCAUUACCUGUUAGGCUUCGACAUCUUAUACUUAUGAGUUGCUCAAAGCUAGCUUCCUUAUCAGAAAGUGGCAAGUUACCCAUAGGGCUUAAACAGCUUGACCUUUCUUUCUGCCCAGAGCUCAAAUCCAUUGCAGAAGUAAUUGAUGAAAAUGCUUGUCUUGAAUCUAUUAGCUUCUUCAGUUGUGGUAUUAAAUCUUUACCGCAAGGAUUAGACAAGCUCAACCAUCUUCGGAGUAUUGAAAUAAUGAGAUGUUCAAAUCUAGUCUCGUUGGAAGGGGUUUUACCCACCACCAAUUUGACUGAGCUUUCUAUCUCCAACUGUGAAAAUUUGCCAGCCCUGCCCAAUUGCAUGCACGGCCUCACCUCUCUUCGAGAAUUACAGGUUGAGAAUGAUUCAGGUGAUCAGAUAUCCAUUCCAGAAGAGGGUAUCUCUACCAACCUAACAUCACUUUCCAUCUCAAUACCAAGAAAUUAUGAGUCUCUACUUGAAAGAGGAUUGCAUAGACUCCCCUCUCUUAAAACACUUUGUAUUUCUGGUGAAGGAUGUCCGAAUAUGGUGUUGUUUCCACCAGAGGAGAUAGGAAUGAUGCUGCCUCCCUCUCUCACCCAUUUGAGCAUUGAAAAUUUUGAAAAUUUGAAAUGCCUAUCCUCCAAAGGCUUUCAAAACCUCACCUCUUUUCAUCAUUUGUCCAUCUUCUCUUGCCCUAAGCUCACAUCUCUUCCUGAAAAAGACAUUCUUAACUCGCUUUUGCAGUUAUUCAUUUGUGCUUGUCCAUUGCUAAAGGAAGAGUGCACAAGGGACAAAGGACGAGAGUGGUCCAAAAUAGCCCACAUACCUCGUGUUCAAAUUUUUGAUUUCUUACCCUUUUUUUGACACCCAAAGGAGUUGAAUUGAAACUUGACUGUAAACUCUGAAAAAAAAAAAAAGAGUUGGCUGUGACAAUCACAGGUAUGAAACCAUUGAAACGUAUGGCAAUUUAGAAGCUUCUCAUUUUUAACUACAAAAUGAAGCUAAUUAUAAUAUUUUUUUUUCAUCAUUGAUUAUUUUCAGGCAAUUCAAAAGCUUUAGAAGGUAACAUGGUGAGAAACUGGGCUUCUCACUUUUUCAUCUAUAAUGGCAGAAUCAAUGUGUAAAGUUUAAUGGUUGGUUAGUAAACUCAUGCUCAUACAACUUCAGCAGUCUACCUGGCAUUUCAAAAGAUCAUUUCAUGGAAAGGGUGGACUCAACUCUGUUUUUCUUGGGCCUCGUAUGUUGAUUUCUUCCUUUUUCAUGCCUAUGAAAGUGCUGCAGAGGUUGAUGAAUGGAGCGGUCCGUUAAUUCUCUGCAACUUUUGGCUACAUUUUUAGUGUUUGAUAAUCAUUUGAUAUUCUAAUAAAAUACUAUUGAGUUUUCUUCAUUUCUAUUAUGAUGCAUUAGGUGCAUUUUUUACAAAUUCAAAGUCUGCCAAUUCUACUUUACUUGACUAUACCUGGAUUACAUCCUUCAUUUUAUUCUUUUAAUUUCGCAUCAUUCUUAUUUGGUCUUUGUGUGACAAUUUCUCAUACUUCAAUCUAUCUUACUUUUCUUAAUUUUUUGGAGAAACUGCUUUAUAAAGAAAAGAAAAGAAAAGAAAAGAGAGGAAAGGAAUAUAAGAUUGCAUAUAUGAAGGUUAGAUGCUCCAUUGAAUUCAUUAAGAAACUUUAAUCUUCUGUUAGAUUUCCAUUACUACUUUGGAUCUCCAAUAGACUAACAUAUUUUAGCCCUUCAUUGAUUGUACUUUUUAGUUUCAACAGUAUAUAAGAGAUGAGCAAUGUUGCUUAUUUUAUGUGCCUUGCUUGUUCUCAGGUAUUUACCGAUCUGCAAUUGCCUUAAUUCUGCAAUCCAUCUGAAAAGUACUCAAACUCACUUUUCCAACUAUCCAUUGCUAACUGUCCUCUAGUAAGUAAACAGUGCAAAAAGGGAUAAAGGAUGGAGCAGUUGAAGAUAGCUUGCAUGUCUUAUGCUUGCAUGAAUGACAGAUUACUCAUUAUCUGGGCAGAAAAGGAAAAAGGUUUUAGAUCUCAUAAGGAAACUUGGAUAAAUCAGUGAAAGAUAUAUCACAUCUCAUUCAGGUUUUAACACAAGGUAUGUAAAUAAGAAAAUUUCUUUUAUCUUUUUUUUUUAAAAGAAAUCCAAAUAAUUGAUUAAAUUUUGAAUGAUAACAAAGUGUUCAUUGAAUUGUACAUGCAGAAACCUGAACAAGAAUAUGAAGAAGGGAAGAAUGAAUUCUGGCCUCCAAAGGUAAUUUGAUGACCUAAUAAUAUAUGGUGAGAUGUCAUUAGGUAACAAUGAAACAAUCCCUCUUAAUUAAACCAUGUUAUGUAUAUGUUUGAAAAGAUGGAGGUGGAACUCUCUCUAACCGUCAUUCUCAACUUUCAGAUAAUCUAGGUACUUUGGGAUGCGUUUGGUGCAAAAGAUGAUGGACAGGAUAUGAUAAAAAUCAUUCUAUCCCUUGUUUGAUGUGCACUUCAAAAAGAAGGAUUGGAUUACAAAUAGAAAUUUUAGUACUGGUGAAGUGGUAAUCGUCGCAUGCUAGCGAAAAUCAAAACUUUACCUGACUUCAUAUGCACCCUUUGCAAUUUAGAGACCUUGCUGUUAAAGCGAUGUCACGAGUUAGAAAAGUUAACCUGAGAAAUAGAAAUUCUAGUCAAAUUGCAUCAUCUAGACAUUACAAGUCAUACAAAUUCAGCGAAAAGCAAUGACCUUUGGAACUGGUAGAGUAACAAUGGAUAUAGUCAAUCUUUCAAAUAUUUAAAAAUUUUGUACUCUAACAGAGAGGCUGUUGUCACGAUUUGGAAAAUAGGAAUAUUUGAUGGUUGAUAGUUGCAAGGAAUGGACAUGUUUAAUUGCAAAAGGAAUUGGGAUCCCUUGGGAGCCUAAUGUUUCUCCCUUGGCUGAGAGUUUUGAAUUGUUCACAAGUUGUACUUGUAUCGUUAAAGACAGAGGAAGCAGAAGAGGAGCAUUUGCAACUUGACAGGCUUUGCGAGUUUCAAUGUCUAACAAUUACGAAAUGUGAACAACUUCAAAGGCCACCAAAGGUCUUGGAUUUGGUCAUGUUCCUUGCAGAUAUACAGAUUGCCAAUGCCCAAGCAUGGUUUCUGUUUUAACUAAUAACCUGCUUCUGCCUUGAAGAAGAUUGAGAAUUGAAGAUUGCGAGAAUUAACAAUGUUUGGUGGAUGAAGAAGAAGAUGCUAGCACAACUUCACCUCUCUUAAGGCAGUGACGUUUGUUGGCUGUUCAGCUGACAUUUCCUUUCCUAUUCUACGGCGUCUCCAUGGCUAUUAAGAUAUGAGGCUGGCUUUAAUGAGAAAAGGUGGUGGCUGGAUGAGAUUAGUUUUCUUUGUAAGCUUUGUUCUCUGCAUUGGCUUAGAGCUUUGGCUGAUGUCAUCUUGUUUUCAGGCUAAGAUUCUGUGGCCUGCUUCCCUUUCUUCACCAGUAACGUCUCUAAAGGCCUGCUGGCUGCGGUUGAGUGUUAAGAGAUUCCUCUGGCUCUAUUCUAGCUUUGCUUUCUGGCCAAAUUGGUGUGUUAGACUAAUGUUGCUGAAAUAAAAUACUAUAUUUGCUUCGGAAAUAUUCUCUAAAACAUAUUGGAAAGGGAAAAAGGUGCUGGUGGUUGGAUCAGAUUCGACAGUAGCUGUGCAAUUUUUUUUUGUUUUUUUUGUUAAGCCAUCAGAAGCUUUCAUUAAAACAAUGUAAGAUUACAGAUGGUCAAAAAUCAAGACUAGCAAGUAAAAACCCCCUUACAUAAGAACAGAAAGCUCUUAGAAGCACCUAGAAAAACAUCAAAUCAUUUUGUCUUGAAGCCAAUUCAGCGAAUCAUCUCUCAUGGUAUGUGUAAUGUACCAUGGCAUUGCAGAACUUGGGACAUCUUCCACAGGAUGCUUCCACUGCUACUGAUUAACCUUCAAUGUUCAUUCCUGAUAAGCGCUGGAGAUGGUGGGUUCUAGUAGUGCUCAGCAUCGCCUUUCUCUUGCUUGGUCAAUCCAAACAGGUAAAUUCUAUUUCAAUCAUGUUAUAAUAUACGCUUUAACUUAAUCGAUAACAGAAUCAACUAUGUUAUAAAAUUUGUAGAAAUGGAUUAAUAUUGUAUUUCGACGAGAUUACGAUUUUAUCUUAAUAGGUUUUUAUUUCGAUUAAACUCCAAUUUAUUUCAAAUCAGAGUUUUUACAGAAAAUUUUAAAUGAAUGCCUCUUGAAUUAUGAUGAAACUAAUUACUAAGUGAUUGAUACGAUGAAGUAGCAAUUUCUUUUUCUUCUUUCUUUUUCAUUUUUAUUGUGUGAUUUCACGUUUUAAUAACUUGCAUUUAUUAAAGGAAUUUUUUAUUUGAAAAAAAGUUUGAGAUGUAAACCUGAUACAUUGAAUCGAGUGCUUAGAUAUUAUUAAGGGGGCAUUUCAUUGAGACCAUGUGAGCACUGCUACAUAUCUAUAGUUGUCAUCUAAUGGAUUAAAUUUGGUUCAAUUUUAUCACUUUACUUGAUAAUAGUAAGCCAAAGGAAAAAUAAGUAAAUUCAUCACUUUACUAAGUAUAAUGGAUCACAUUUAUCACUAGUUAUUGAACAGAAAUGAUUUGAUCUCCAUAUUUUUUAAUUGAUCUAAAAAAUUGUCAAUAAUUAAUGGUAAAAGGAUAUUUCAAUAAAAAAUAAAGUAAUAUUUUAAUUUUGAGUAUUUUUAAACUAAAUUUAAAAAUAUUGAUAAAAUUUUAUUUGUUUAAAUAUGAAUAGUAAUUGUGAGCAAAAAUCUAUUAAUUACUCACUGGAAUUACAAAUGUGGUAGUCUAUAGAACAUAAAUAUAAAAAUUGUAUCAUUCGCUAACAUCAUAAUGUUUUGGAUGAUGCAAAUGUUUUAAACACUUGCCAACACAUUUAUUAAGCAUUUAUACACAAUAAGCAUUAUUAACACUUGUAUAAAACCACCAAGUGUUUAACAAAGGAUUAACGUUAACAUGCAAAGCUUACACGUUUAUAAACAUCAAGAGCAGCAUAGGUUCUGGUUUACUAAACUAGUACAACAGAGCAAAAUGGAACACACGACCAAUACAUAAUUCUAAAAGCACCCCAAAAUAUAAUUCAAGCUAGUUUUUUAUCUCAACAAUAAUAUACGUAAUCUAUUCAUUAUAUCAUAAGUCCAGGAAGAGCCAUGUCUAAAAUGUAAACCACAACACUCUUUUGAUGAUGGCAGGUUCAUUUACUCACAGAGAUAGGGCGUGCCUCUUUUACCUGAACACUGUUUAGGACUCUGGUGUCAAGAAGUUGAGGAGGAUUGCAAUUAAUCAUGUUCUAUAUUUAUGUAAAUGUUCCUACAGUUCCGGUGCAAGUUACUUUCUCCCAUGAUGCUAUCUUGGUCUCAUCCACUUUGCAUCAAAUUCCUCUUGCAAUGCUUGUGAGCCUUUUCUGGAUUACUCUGGUGGUUUGCUUUCUGUAUAUUCUGCUGCCUCUCCAUGGCUAGUAAGAUAUGAGGCUGGCUUUAAUGAGAAAAGUGGUGAGUGUGUGAAGAUUAUUUUUCUUCGUAUCUCUGCAUUGGUUUAGAGCUUUGGCUGAUGGCGUCUUUGUUUUUGGGCUAGGAUUCUGUGGCUUUAAGGAGACUUGGUGAAGUCUUUGAAGCAUGUUGCCCUGUCAAAUUUAUCACCUGUUGAUUGUCAGUGGCAUCCAGAAGAAAUGAAUGGUUAUUUAUCACCUGUGCAAAACAGCUGGAUUUCCAGUUCUCUUUCUCUCAAUUGUAUUUUUCACUUCCCCUAAAAAGUUGCCCAGUACCUGCAACAACACAAGCCAGCCUUCACUUUUCUUGUCUUCGGUAGGCCUUUGGUUUCUUCUUGUAGAUACUAGAUUUUGGUUAAUACUGUUACUCUAAAGAAUUAUGUUACAACAUAAUAUUAUAUAGAGAACAACCAGAACAAGUGAAGUGUUACUUCACGCAGAAUAACUAGAACAAGUGAAGCGUUACUUCACGCAGAACAAGUGAAGCGCUACUUCACGCAGAACAAGUGAAGCGCUACUUCAAGUAUUACUUAAAGCAGAACAAUUAGAAAAAGUAAAGUAUUACUCCAUAUAGAAUAACUAAUACAAGUAGAACAACCACUUUGAAUAGAAUAACUGUUUCACUUGGAUGACAGUGAAAGUAACUCAGAAUAAGUGACAGGGUUCAUGGGUUACUUUCAUCUUGGGAUGUUUCAGAGAGUUUGGCUUGGUGGCUGAGAUAUGGAGGUAGUUAAGAGGUCUUCCUCUUAACCCUUUCCUGAAGUACAAGUGUUUCACCCUCUUAUCUUGUUCUCGUAUACUUAUUCAUGUACAGCUUAUUCUCUUGUACCUAUUCUCAUACAGCUUCUUCUCUCGUACCUAUUCUUGUACACCUCUUUUCUAUUACCUUUACUUGAGAACAAGUCUUACUACAUUCAAUUACAGUAACGGUUACUUACAUUAAUAUUCUUCAUAAUAAUGUCAUUCAUUAGGCGCAUUAAAGCCUAUUCUUAUGUAACCGUCACUUUUAACACUAUAUAUAGAGCCUCACAAUUCAUUUGAAAGGACUCUUCUUUCCCUCUCCAAGUUAACACAUUCUCAACUUGAGAGCUUCUCUCUCUAAAUUCUCUCUCUAAUUAUCUUGUACUCUCUAAGUCUCUUUAAUUCUUUUCUUAUUGUCUUCCACCUGUCACAGCACUUAGUACUUCAGGAACUGCUUCAAUCUUCCUCUCUGCCUCCUCUGGCACAUCCUUUUACUUGUUUGCAACACUUCCUCUCCCUAUCACAAGAAACCCUGAUUACACUUCUUAUUUCAACUUUUUGUUCAUUCAUAGCUUCUAUGGAAUGUACCUACAAGCUUCUUAUUACAACUUGUCCUGCAAAUUUUAAUUUAGAAUUUCAAUGAAUGAUGUCUCUUAUUCACAAAGUCAAAUUCAAACUUCUUUCCCAAAAUAAAAUAUACAUCUUUUUAAAAGUUGCAUCUGCCGAGUCAAUUAUCAUGUUAUCAUAUUGCUUUAAUAAUCACGAAGAAACCUGCAAUUGCUAAUUUGAUUUUCUGGUGCUUAUUUUGAUUUCAGCCUUUCAGGAAUUUUUUUGCAUUUUCCAUUGCCAAUUGAGUAUUCACUAGGUUUGCUUUGGUUAAGGCCAAAAGAGGUAGAGAAUUCCUGCAAUGUGCAACAAGCUGUCAGUUCUAUUACAGAAGACAAGUAUGGUUGAUUUGAUGGCAAACAUCAUUACUGGGAGAGACUCAUCAAAAAGAUAAAAUUUGGAAUUAGUUUUUUCAUGAAUAAGUUAUAAUGUUAGAGAUGCUCUCUUUUUUCUGUCUCCUUCCCUAAGACAACAAUGUCCUUCCACAAUAACUUGCUGUUCUUUUAAUUUCUUCUAAAGUAAGCACUUGGCAAAAAAUAUUACAAUUGGGUAUCUUCUACAUUCUCAUUUGUUAUUUCUUUUUUUGGAUUAUUAUUCAUGUAUUGGAUAAUAUUAUUUUUUUAAUAUUAUAAUUAAGUUUUAAUGGAUGAAAGGUAUUCAUUUAGGUAUAUUUUUUAAAAAUAAUAAAUUAUUUAAUUAUUCAAUAAACAUAUAAAAAUAGUUUAAACUCACUCAUUACGUUAAAAACUUCAUUAUCGGUAAAUAAAUAAUAAUAAUCUAUUUCUUCCUAAAACCAAACAAACUCGUUACUUUAUUUCUUUCCUUUCGUUUUAUUUUUAAUAUAGUUUUAUACUCGCAAAUUUGAACACAUUUUUUCAGGUAAUUAAAUUUAUUUAUCAUAUAAAUAAUUUGAAAACAUUUUUUGUUAGAAACUAAAUAAAAUAUUAGUUAUUUUAUUCUAGAACUUUGCAAAAGAAAGCUUUAAGAACAAUCUUUAAGAUUAGAAAACAAAAAACCAUCAUGUUAACAUAAAUAUCACUUUAAAAAGUGUGCUUAGAACAUUUAUUUAUUGCGCAUGGAAUUUGCUAUCGGUCACUCAUUGCUUUGUCCUUGUCUUUUCCCAGCAGUUGCCUCUGGCCUUCAACACCACAUACAGUCCAUCCAUGAAUCAGAAUUCCACGGCUGCAAGUCAAUACCCAACUCAAUUAUUAAGCGAUCCUCACUAACUUCUCUAACUUUCAUGCAACAAAAAUACGUCUCUUUUCCGCAUACUUCAAUCUCCAUUUUUUAUUUCUCUCUUUCUUUCUUGAGCAAAACAAUCAUGUCUGUUGUUGGGGAAGCUGCUCUCACAGCUUUCUUUGAUGGGUUGUUUGGCAAGUUAUCCUCUUCUGAUUUCCUCGACUUUGUCACUGACAAGCAGGUCUUCGAGGAGAUCAACAAGUGGGAAAAGAUGCUGCGGGAUAUCCGUGCCGUGCUUGAUGAUGCAGAGGGGAAGCAGAUGAAGGAUCAGUAUGUGAAGAACUGGUUGGCCGAUCUUCAAGACUUGGCUUACGAUGUUGAUGACAUUUUGGACGAGUUUGCCACUGAAGCUUUGGGGCGCAAGUUGACAUCCUUGGAGGAACCUCAAGGCAUCAAAAAUAAGGUACAAAAGAUCAUUCAUACUUGUUUCUCUUCAAAAACUUUCAUGUUUAAUAAGAAGAUCCUGUCCAAGAUUAAAGAGAUCAGUGCUAGAAUGAAUGAUUUGGCCACAAAAAGAACUCAAUUGGAAUUGCUAGGCAUUAAUGAGGGAGCAAGGUCCAACAGAAUGAUACAAAGGCUUCAGCCUACUUCUUUGGUGGAUGAAACUCAGGUCUACGGUAGGCAAGAAGAAAAGGCAGCAUUACUUGAAUUGCUUCUGAGCAAUGAUGGUACUGAAAAUGAAGUUUCUGUGAUUCCUAUCGUUGGCAUGGGAGGAAUUGGCAAGACAACUCUUGCACAACUUGUCUACAAUGAUACUAGUAUACAAAAUUCUUUCCAUGACAAGGCGUGGGUAUGCGUUUCUGAUGAUUUUGAUGCUGUUAUGAUAACGAAGACAAUUCUACAAUCAAUUGCUCCUGAUUCUUGUACCAAUAUUAGUGAUUUCAAUUCGCUUCAAGUCAAGUUGAAGAAGAAGCUGGCUGGGAAAAAGUUUUUGCUUGUCUUGGAUGAUAUCUGGAACGAGAAUUAUCUGGAGCUGACCAACCUACUCUCUCCAUUCGGAGUUGGAACCAAAAUUCUCAUUACAACACGGAGUCACAAUGUUUCUUCUAUUAUGGGCACUGUUAAAGCUUACCCACUACAACAGUUAUCACGGGAGGAUUGUCUAUCUGUAUUUACUCAACAUGCAUUAAGAGCAAAUGAUUUUAGUGGGCGUCCUGAAUUAAAAGAAGUUGGGGAAAUUAUAGUGAAAAAGUGCAACGGCUUACCUUUGGCAGCUAAAGCCAUCGGCGGUUUACUACGCACUAGCCUGGACUAUGAGGCAUGGAAAGGUAUAUCAGAGAGCGAGAUAUGGGGCAUACCAGAAGAGAAAUGUGGCAUAAUUCCAGCUCUACGAUUGAGCUAUCAUCAUCUUCCGUCACAUUUGAAGCGAUGCUUUGCAUAUUGCUCUAUACUCCAUAAGGAUUAUGAAUUCGGAGAGGAGGAAAUAAUCUUGUUAUGGAAAGCAGAAGGUUUUCUACAACCAGCAAGCCCUGGAACUCAACUCGAAGUUCUAGGUAGUCAAUAUUUUCGAGAUCUAGUCUCAAGGUCAUUUUUUCAAACAUCUACUAGGAACAAGUCUCGAUUUGUAAUGCAUGAUCUUGUCAAUGAUCUGGCUCAAUCGGUUGCAGGGGAAAUAUGCUUCAAAUUGGAGGAUGAUAAACAGUUGAGAUUUUCGGAAGGUACUCGACAUUCAUCUUAUGUUCUUGGUUUGUUUGAUGGAAUGAAAAAGUUUGAAGCCUUCGAUCAAACAAAGCAUUUACGAACCUUUCUACCGUUGUUUGGAUCGUCGUGGCCACCUAAAGGAUAUUAUUGUUAUCUAAGUAACAAUGUCCUCGUUGAUUUGCUGCCCAAACUUCGGUGCUUAAGAGUUCUUUCUUUGAAAGGGUAUUGCAUCAUUGAGUUACCAAACUUUUUUCAAAACUUAAUACAUUUGCGCUACUUGGAUUUUUCUAAUACUAGAAUUAAAAGUUUGCCUGAUUCAGUCUGCACCCUUUAUAAUUUAGAAACUUUACUAUUACAUGGGUGUGAAUUACUUGAAAAUCUACCCUCAAACUUACAAAUUCUAGUCAACUUGCAUGUUCUGGACAUCAGUUAUACGUAUUCAAUGAAAGGGAUGCCAUUUGGAAUUGGUAACUUAACCAAUCUUCGAAGACUAUCUGAUUUUGUUUUGGGCAGAGGUGAUGGACAUCAUAUACAAGAGAUGAAGAAUUUGUUAAAUCUGAAGGGUAAGCUUUGUAUCUCAGGGUUAGAGAACAUUGUUAAUGCUCAAGAUGCAUGGGAGGCUAAGUUAAUAUAUAAGUCAGGCCUUGGCACAUUAGAACUAAAGUGGAGUAGAGAAUUUGAUAAUAAUAGAAAUAAAGAAAUUGAAGAAGAAGUGUUGAAUUUGCUUGAACCCCACAAAAAGCUUGAAGAGCUCUUCAUUCAGGAUUAUGGUGGUACAAAAUUUCCGAUUUGGAUGAGUUCUUCAUUACAAAAUUUGUCGUCUUUGGUUCUCAAGGGCUGUAAAACUUGUGUGUCACUGCCAUCACUUGGAAAAUUACCGUUACUGAAGAAUCUUUGUAUUGUUGGAAUGGAUGAGUUAAAUAAGGUUGGCAUUGAGUUCUACGGGGAGAAUCAAUCAAAUGCAUUUGCUUCGUUACAGAGUUUGAGCUUUCGAAAUAUGCCAAGAUGGAAGGAAUGGGACUUGGUUGAUGAGCAAGUUGUGAAAUUCCCUAGCCUCGUCGAGCUUUCCAUCAGUGACUGCCCUCAAUUGUUGGGAACGUUGCCUAAUCGUCUUCAUUCCUUAAAGAAGCUCGCAAUUAGGACGUGUAGACAAUUGGUGGUUUCACUUUCAGACCUUCCAAAGCUGUCUGAAUUAGAAAUACAUGAGUGUGCAGAGUUGGUGCUUAGAGAUGAUGUAGAUUUUCCCUCAAUAAAAAAAGUCCAUCUUUCAUGUGUUGUAAAGUUUUCUACUCCAACGGAAAGGCUAAAGGAGUUGGGAGUAAUUGGACAUCUAAGGUCUGGAUCUCUCCGUGAAUUGGGAAUUUCAAAUUGUCCACAACUCGUGUUGUUAGAGGCAGAUGAGGUAGAGGAGGCAGAAGUGGAGCUGUUGAAAGUUGGGAAUCUUUGCAAUAUUGAAUCUUUGAGAAUAUGGGAAAAAGGUCUCAAUAUCGAAUCCUUGAGAAUAAGAAAACAUUUCCUCGCAUUUCUUACAGAUAUGAUAAUUGAAAACUGCCCAAACAUAGUUUGUUUUGCAAAGAACAACUUACCCCCACUUUUGAAAAAAUUAGGGAUUGUAAAUUGCAAAAAUUUGCGAUGUUUGGUGGAUGAAGGAGGAAAUAUAAGCAUCACUAACAUAUCUCCUCUUGAGGAUUUGGAUAUUAUGGACUGUCCAUCUCUAAUAUCAUUAUCGUUACCGGUUAGGCUUCGACAUCUUAUGCUUUCGAAGUGCUCAAAGCUAGCUUCCUUAUCAGAAAGCGGCAAGUUACCCAUAGGGCUUAAACAGCUCCUAAUUAUUACCUGCCCAGAGCUCGAAUCCAUAGCAGAAGCAAUUGACGAAAACGCUUGUCUUGAAUCUUUUUGUAUCUUUGAGUGUGGUAUUAAAUCUUUACCGCAAGGAUUUGACAAGCUCAACCAUCUUCGGAGUAUUGAAAUAGUUGCAUGUUCAAAUCUAGUCUCGUUGGAAGGGUUUUUGCCCACCACCAAUUUGACUAACCUUUGGAUCUCUAAGUGUGAAAAUUUGGGAGCCCUGCCCAAUUGCAUGCACAACGUCACCUCUCUUCGACAAUUGCAGGUUGAGAAUGAUUCAGUUAAUCAAGUAUCCAUUCCAGAAGAGGGUAUCUCUACCAACCUCGCAUCACUUAAAAUCUCAGUACCAAGAAAUUAUGAGUCUUUACUUAAAUGGGGACUGCAUAGACUCACCUCUCUUAAAACACUUGAUAUUUCUGGUAGAGGAUGUCCGAAUAUGGUGGCGUUUCCACCAGAGGAGAUAGGAAUGAUGCUGCCUCCCUCUCUCACCCAUUUGACCAUUCGAAAUUUCGAAAAUUUGAAAUGCCUAUCAUCCGAAGGCUUUCAAAACCUCACCACCUCUCUUCAUCAUUUGUCCAUCUCCUCUUGCCCUAAGCUCACAUCUCUUCCUGAAAAAGACAUGCUUCUCUCGCUUUUGGAGUUACGCAUUACAGAUUGUCCAUUGCUAACAGAAGAGUGCAAAAGGGACAGAGGACGAGAGUGGUCCAAGAUAGCCCACAUACCUUGCAUUAAAAUUGAUGCGUGGUGGUCAAGCGAAAGUCAAGUUUGAAAGUCACAGGUAUGAAACCAUUUGAAACGUACGACAAGUUAGAAGCUUCUUAUUUUAACAACAAAAUGAAACUAAUUAUAAUAUUUUUGUCAAUGAUUAUUUGCAGGCAAUUUAAAAGCUUUAGAAGGAAACUUGGUGGGAAACUGGGCUUCCCAUCUUUUCAUCUAAAUGGCAGAAUCAGUGUGUAAUUAAUUGUUGGUUAGUACACUCAAGCACAUACAACUUCAACAGUCUACAGGACCCAACUGGUUUUUCUUCAACUUCAUCAUUGAUUUCGGUUUUUUUUUUUUUUUUAUUCCAGACCUAUGAAAAUCCUGCAGAGGCUGAUGAAUGGAGUGGUCAGUUAAUUCUCUGCAACCUUCAUCUACAUUUUUAGGGUUUGAUAACGAUUUGAUAUUCUAAUAAAAUACUAUUGAGUUUUCUUCAUUUCUAUUAUGAUGAAUUUGGUGUAUUUUUUACAAAUUCAAAGUCUGCCAAUUCUACUUUACUUGCCUAUACCUGGAGUACAUCCUUCACUUUAUUCUUUUAAUUUCGCAUCAUUUUUAUUUGACCUUUUUUGUGACAAUUUCUCAUACUCCAAUCUAUCUUACUUUUCUUAAUUUUUUGGAGGAACUGCUUUAUAAAGAAAAGAAAAGAAAACAGAGGAAAGGAAUAUAAGAUUGGACAUAUGUAGGUUAGAUGCUCCAUUUAAUUCGUUAACAAUUUUAAUUUUCUGCAUGUCUUAUGCUUGUGUGAAUAACAGAUUACUAAUUAUCUGGGCAGAAAAGGAUAUAGGUAUUAGAUCUCACGAGGAAACUUGGAAAAAAAUUCAGUGAAUAGAUAUACCACAUCCCAUUCAAAAAGUUGAUUAAAUUUUGAAUGAUAACGAGGUGGUCAUUUAAUUGUACGGGCAGAAACCUGAACAAGAAUCUGAAUAAGGGAAGAAUGAAUUCUGGCCUUAAAAGGUAAUUUGUUGACCUGAUAAUCAAUACAAUUAAAUGGUGGCAUGCCAUUAGGCAACAAUGAGACAAUCCUUCCUAAGCAAACCAUUUUAUGUAUAACUUUUAAAAGUUUGAGUUGGAACUCUCUCUAACUUCAUUCUCAACUUUCAGAUAAUCUAGGUACUUAGGGAUGCGUUUGAUGCGCACUUAAAAAGUAGGAUAGGAUUGCAAAUAGAAAUUUAGUACUGGUGAAGUGGUCAUCGUCGCAUACCAGUGAAAAACAAAACUUUACCUGACUUUAUAUGCACCCUUUCCAAUUUAGACACCUUGCAAUUAAAGCGCUGUCAGGAGUUUGAAAAGUUAACCUGAAAAAUAGAAAUUCUAGUCAAAUUGCAUCAUCUUGACAUUAGUCAUACAUAUUUAGUGAAAGCAAUGCCCUUUGGAAUCGGUGGACUGACCAAUCUUUAAAAACUGUCUAAUUUUGUUUUGGGUGAAGGUGGUGGAUAUCAGAUAUGGGAGAUGAAGAAUUUGUGGAAUCUCAAGGGUGAGAUUUCUAUUUCAAGGUCGGAGAGCAUUGUUAAAGCUCAAGAUGCCUGGGAAGCUAAGUUGGUUGAUACCCAGGCCUCAAUGAGUUAGAAGUGGAUUCCAACUUUUGAUAACAAUGCAAGAAAUAAAGAAGUUGAAGAAGUGGUGUUGAACUCGUUGAAUUAUGGCUGUCUUUGCUGCAUUGCUGCCACAGGGGAUUAGUUUCUACACAUUUGGAAACCAGCUUGGUUGGAGUCAGGGUCAGUUACUUUUUUGCUCACCAAAUGUUUGAUUAUUUUUUGGCCAUUUGUGCACUUGUUAGUUUGUGUUUCUUAGUUAUAUUUGACUUUUUGAAUCUGUCACCAUGCCUUAUAAUGACAGUUUAUGCAGCAUUAGUUGAAAUAUUUUGUUUUUAGUUUAUUUUUACAAGCAAUGUAUCAAAUAGUGUGAGCAGUUGAAGAUGUUUUUAAUCACUGUCUUGAGUAUAUAAAUAUGUAUUCUCUUAAUGCAAAGUGAUGUAUGAAGAGUUGAAGUUCUGGUAUUUUUUGGGUUUUGUUUUCCCUCUUUGUUUUUCCAGCAAACUUUGGUCUCUUCACGGAGAGUUUAGUAUGCAUAUCCUUAAGUUUUUUUUUUUAUCCAGCAGAAACCAAGGAUAACAUUUCAUUUAUCCCUGUCUGCCCAUAAUCAAUACCAAGGAUAACACUUGUUUUUCUCUGUCUGUCUGUCUGUCCCCAAAAAACCAAGGAUAAAACCUUAUUUCCUUGGUACAAACUCUUUCAAAAUUUACAACAGCAGAAACUAAGGUUUUUGCUUCUGCCUUCAGCUGCUUCUCCUUGGGUAGCCUUAAAAAAGUAAUGUGAGCUGCCACUAAAGCCAAGAGAACUUUUUUGGUCAUCAUAAAGAGCUAAAAUAGCUCACCAUAAUAAUUACGGGACUACCAAAUUUCCAACUUGGAUAGUAGAUUCUUCAUUACAGAAUUUAUUAUCCUUGAAUCUCAUGAAUUGUAAAAUUGCAGAUCAUACCUGCAAUUGGAAAAUUACCACUGUUGGAAUCUCUUUGCAUUGAAGGAAUGGAUGGAGGCUACCAAAGGUCUUGCUUUUGGUCAUGUUCCAUGCAGAUAUACAGAUUGCCAAUGCCCAAACAUGGUUUCUCUUUUAACGAAUAACCUGCUUCUAACUUGAAGAAGAUUUAGAAAUGAAGAUGGCAAGAAUUUACAAUGUUUGGUGGAUGAAGAAGAAGAUACUAGCACAACUUCACCUCUCUUAAGCCAGUUACGUUUGUUGGCUGUUCAGCUGACAUAUCUUUUCCAAAAGUGGAUUUCCCUACCAACCUAACAUCACUUGACAUCACAUCACCCAAUAUUUGGAGGUCACUACUUCAAUAGGGUUUGCAUAGACUCAGCUCUCUUCAAAAACUAUCCAUUAAUGGUGAAGAAUGUCCAGAUGUGGUGUUGUUUCCACAAGAGGCGAUAGGAAUGAUGCUGCCUCCCCCUAUAUGCGAUAUCAACGUAAGUGAUUUCAACAACCUGAAAUUUCUAUCCUCGAAUGGCUUUCAAAACCUCACGUCUUUUUAGUCU
rnacentral:lncRNA from 1 species